AUUUUAGUAUAGAUAUAUACCAUGUAAUAUCUGGGACAUACUUAUACUAAAA
rfam:Myotis lucifugus cont2.42124, whole genome shotgun sequence.